AUACGGAGGGUGCAAGCGUUGUUCGGAAUCACUGGGCGUAAAGGGCGCGCAGGCGGUUUGGUAAGUCAGACGUGAAAGCCCAUGGCUCAACCAUGGAAGUGCAUUUGAAACUGUCAGACUUGAGUACUAGAGGGGAAAGUGGAAUUCCCGGUGUAGAGGUGAAAUUCGUAGAUAUCGGGAGGAAUACCGGUGGCGAAGGCGACUUUCUGGCUAGAUACUGACGCUGAGGCGCGAAAGCGUGGGGAGCAAACAGGAUUAGAAACCCUAGUAGUCC
rnacentral:rRNA from 1 species